rnacentral:misc_RNA from 1 species
GGGUUGAUGUAUGCAGCCUUACCCUUGUUGCAAAGAGGCGGUUUCCGUGGUUCAAACCCAUGGCCUCCAGGUCACAAAUAGAGUAACUUUAAUACCAAUAAAUAAAAACAAUUGCUACUGAUUACUCGAGAAAAAGAGCAAGUGUUGCUCCUUGGCAUGAAAGGUAAAAAGAAUGAAGAACUCAGCACCUGACAUGAUAUAACGGCUAUCGAGGAAAUCCAAGAAACAAAAGAGCAAGCAAAAAGGAAAAACACAAAUGGUUGCUUUAAUCUGUACAUCGAAAGCUCCAAUUCUUUAAGAGAAUAACUAUUAACAUAAAAUGCUCCGCUUAAGAUGUAUCAGAACCAGACUACAAAGUUCACACAUUUCAGUGCUGUCCUGUCCCUUAACAAAAAUAGGUAAGCAAAAAGUUGAGCUCAGUAUUUUGCAUGAAGGCAUGACCUAAAUCUAGCAUCUCCAUAUCCCUCAAAGUCACAUCCCCAAGAUAAACC